UUGAAAAAGAAUACCAAGUCAGAGUCUUGGAAAAGAAACACAAAAUUACAUGCUCCACUAAUUAAGAUGAAAAGAUCAUAACAAGACAGGCAAUCAUAGUCUGAACCUGAGAUUCCAAGGUCAUAACCGAAGAGGAGACCGCCAGUGGCGGCAAUCAGACAGGUGCACACCACAAAGGCGGUGACACGACCUUCAUAGCUGGCCCCUCCACCUUGUUGAGCAACAAAUCCUCCUCCUGCCAUCUCUCAAUCCACGCAGGUUUGGUGAUAUACUGGGGAUGUUUUUACGGUGAUAGUUGAGGAUCUUUCAAAGGAAUUUGCCCGCAAAGGUCCCGCAUACCACCAAGGAAGAAAAGGAAAUGUAACUCUCUGACCUCCCACUGCUAAAUCCUAGAUGAAAUGCCUGGUUUUAUAUAUGUGAUCAAGUGGCCUGCUAGGGCCCUAAAAACGUGCUUAUUUCUAACAACAUUGCUGCAAAAAUAGGACAUAUUUUUCAACAUUUAACUGGCUUUCCCUCUUUUAUUAAAUUCAUACCUUUGGAAAUGCUAUUUUCAGACCCUAGCAUUGCGAUUACCACUGGAUUCUACCUAGUCUCUAUCCAUAGUCAUCAUUUUUUUUUUCUUUUGUAGCAAUGGAAAUCCUUAUCCAUAAAAUCUACCAAUUUAAGUGGUUUGCCCGGGGUAUAUAUGGCUAAGAUAAUUUUGGCUGGUCAUGAGAAGAGUUUUGGACUAUAUAAGGAAACUAAUUUAAACUUAGGUCUAAGUGGUGCAAGUCGGAAUCCACCAAACGUUAUGUUAAGAUCUUUUCUGUUGUAUUUUAGUUGGUUUGUUUUCCAUGUAUUUAUCAUUUCCCCAUAUAUGUAUGGAUCUUGAAGGUAAGCCUCUAAAGCAUCAACUGCUAUAGGUUUUGACACAUAACACAGUCAUCUCCUCUGUUAAUGUUGUUAUGUUGUCAUUGUUGUUUCA